GCUCGCUCGGGCUCGGCGCGGACCCGCCCGGGCGCACUCCUUCCGCUGGCGUCCGGCGUCCUGCCGCCCUGCGCGGAGCCGGCCAGCGGUCUCCGCCACCCCUGAGGGCGCUCCCGGCCCCCAGCGCGGAGGCUCGCGGGCGGAGGUCGCAACGAGAGGCUGGACCGCGGUGGCGCGCGGCUCGCCUUCCCGCAGGUGUUCCUUUGAUACAGCGGAAGGUGCCUCUGCUCUUCUGCCUGAGAGUGGUUCAAAAUGUCCCUUAACAAACAGUUUCUGGACCAAGAACUGGAAGACACACUGAAGAAACAAAGGCCACUGGUUUAGGUGGCCUCCCCACACAAGGGUGGAAGAUCCUGAAUGUGAGAAAGUUGCAGGUCAACCCGUCGCCCACCGGGGCCCACCUCCACAGCUUGAUUUAUCUCGGAUUUUGAAAUCAGUGAGUUCUUAAUUGAGUUGAACUACAUACUUUUCCAGCAAAUACUACCUGAAUUUGUAACAUGGGUUGCUUCAGUCACCAACUUGGCAGGCCUUGCUG
rnacentral:lncRNA from 1 species